GUCUGGGUGGCGCAACUGGUUAGCGCGUCCUCCUGUUAAUCAGGAGGUUGUGAGUUCGAGCCUCACCCUGGACG
rnacentral:tRNA from 1 species